CCCCCAUCUCCGCAGCUCCAGCCCAUCCGUGAGCAUCACCAACCCACCGAGACCGGUCUGUGGCCAGAGGGGAGGGGUUCAACCCAUCCUGCGUAGAAACUGGGCGUUAGAUUUGGAGGGAAACUUAGAAAACACCCAGGAAAACACAGUCCAGAGGGCAGAGCUCCCCAGCCUUCCUUUGGAGCCAGCAGCUCGUGCCCGUUGCUGGCGGAACCUGCUGGCUUAGCGCCAAACCACCUGGUGGUCACGCUCCUGUCCCAGCCCGCCCCUCCCUGCCGUGUCCGGGCAGGUGAGGCGCCCGUAGCUGCGGCAGGAGGGGACCGAGAGCCCUCCGGGUCCCACCGAGCCCUGAGUCAGGGCUGGGAGCGCCGUCACGCGCCAAGCCCCACCCGCCGUGACGCUCGCGGUGAGUCAGGCGGGGGGAGGUCUGCGGGUGGGUUUGGUUUGUGUUCUCUUCCGCUGUGGGGUGUUUGUCUCCAUCUGAUCACUUUCAUUGUUCUAACGAGCACAGGGAAGCAUUCCUCCCAGAAGCACCUGCUGUGGGGGUGUGGGCAGAGCCUGGAGGGUCGCGGGUCACCGUGAGGGCUGGCCCGCGCUGCCGCCGACGCCUUGUCAAGGCCCCAGAGGACGAGGCAACUCUUCCCCUGAGGGGCUACAGUGGUGGGCUCCAUGUCACUCGCGGUCCUGAAGCCAGGAGGGUCUCCUGUGGCUGCUCAGAGGGGUGUGGCCACUUCCCCCACAGCUCCAGUGGGUGACCAGGCGUGAGGCCACGACCAGAACAAUGGAAGUGGCUGGUGGGGCCCGAGACGUAAACCAUCAGACAGAUGGUCACUCAGUGAUCCGCCCUGCAGCUCACUAGCCAGCCGUCCUCAGGCCAAGACGUUGGGUUGGAGGGACUUACAGCAUGGGACAAAGUGGGAGGUGCUCAUGGCGAGGAAGAGGCUCUGAUGCAGAACUUGGCGCCGAGGUCCAGUCCGUGUCCACUGGGCAGGGAGCGGGGGCCCGCCCACGAGAGCCCCACCCAGCCGGGAGGCCCAUCUCAUCUGCUGGACGGCCGCGUCUCCUCUUCCCGCACAACAGCUGUUCCACAAAGUGGGCACACGUGGUCACUUCCCUGUACAUCAGAACAAACCCCGGCACCUCGAGCCGCUCGUGGGUGCCGGCUUCUGGGUGGGCGCCGGCUGCUGGCUGGGUGCUGGGAGGCUGGCUGUUACCUGGCAGAAAGCUGCACGCACUUUCCAGUGAGUCACGGGCAUGUGUCCUUCCUCCAGACACAGGCCAUUAGAUCAAGCUGGAGUGAGCGUGUGUCAGCUACACCUGCCCCGCACGCGGCACACGCAGGGCCCCGCGAAUCGCCGCUCCCCAGCGCCCCACCAUCGCGCACAACCUCACAGGUGUGCCGGUUGGAUCCAAGCACACACCUGAGUCCACCUGUGUGCGCACGUUACACAGGUAACACCUGGCGCUGAGAACAGGCGCUGCCUGAGGCUGAGCAUGGAUGUUUGAGAUGAAUAUGCAAAACCAGGGAAAUUACCACCACACGACUGCCAGCUGCACAGAUCAGAGUUUGCCUUCUUGAAGGUGCGUGUCCUUUUCCGACGUCGCCCUCCACGUGUGCCUCCUUGUGGGAAGGGGGCUCUGUCUUCCUGUGCCUGACCCCAGAGCACGUCCGUGAACAGGAGCUGCUCCCCUCCUGGUAGACGUGAGUGAGGCAGGAAGAGAGAAGAGGGAAGGGAGUGAAGCCAUAAUCAGCCUGCUGUUGACCCCGGCGGGGAACGUGGGUGUGGCCCAGGACAAACCUCGGGAGGAGCUCGGAGGGGGGCCCUCCCCUCGCGCCGGUGCUCCUGGCACCAAGCGACUGGCACAGACAAGGGGCAGAUGGGGCUGAUCACACUUAGCGGGUGGACGGAGCGGCCACCUGGCAGUGAGGCUUGGAAGUGCACAUCGAGUCCUGCAGCAACGCUGUGGACUGGGUGUCACGGCUCCCGUGGAACCUGCCCACCAGGAGGUGGGGACCAUGACAGAAAGAAAUGCCCACGUCCACAUCUCUUGCCCAGCCGCUGCGGCACGCUAGCGGGCAUCUGGACCCGGGCCACCGGCUCUAGCGUCCAGGACCUCAAGUCAAGAUCCAAGCAAGACGAGAUUAAGGGGAGUUUUGCUCACGAGAAGUCAGCAUUAAGAAUGAAUGGAGAUGCAAUAGGAAAGGACAGCUGAGCCAAGAAUCUGGUUUUCUCCGGCUCAGCGAGGAGCAGGCGCCCCUCAGUGCCUGGCAGAUGGCUGGGACAAGGAGAUUCAUAAACAGAAAGCCGGCUCUCUUGUGGAAAGGGACGUCAGAGGUCAGGGGUCCCUCCUGCACGUUCGUAAAUGAGGAAAGAGGUCCAGUGGUGCUAAGCCAUUCGCCCAAAUGGCCGUCCGUGAUCACUGCCAGGACCAGAUGGGGAACUGCGACCCCGACCCCAGCGCACUGGUCUUUCCUCCCAUUCACUCUUCGAGGUUAUCCAACCGCCACCAGCCAAACCGCAGCGGCUGGCCAACUCCAGCAGUGAUUCUGUGGACGCCUGGUCCCCAGAGAUGCCCUCCACACAGGUCGGGGCUGGCUUCCCCCGUGCGAGACGUCAUGGCCCUUCUCCGCUGUGUGGAUGUUCGCCCUGACGCAAGACCCGCCGGGGAGGGACCGCUGGCCUGAGCGCCAGUCAGGGCGCACCAAUUUGUGCUGGUCCGUCCACCACCACACCCUCGCGGGGAAGCAAAGUAGCGCCAGCUUCACUGAAAACAUUCUUAUUAGAACAAAAAAGCACUAGUUUCAUCACACGUCAACCCUCAGAUACAGAUCUUCUUAAUAUUCUGUGUGAGCAAGUGGGGAUCAUGCGGAGCCCUCUUCCUGCGGGCUGUGACGCUACCUGGAAGACAAGUGUGUGGGUUCAUGUGGGCUGAACCCGCCCACUCUUACUUCAGAAAACGGCCAACUGUGGUCAUUUGGACGUGGGCCAGGCAGACCUCCAGGAAGUGAUGGGCCUGUUACUUUAAGUAAACAACUGGCAGAAUGCGUUGCCAAUGACAGACUUUGAGCUUUCAAGCAAAAAUGAGAACCUUGGAACACUUGUGUCCGCCACCGUGCUCCUCCCAAUACUCGGGCUUCCCUGAGGUGCUGCGUGGCGAUGUGGGUGUUGAAUAAAGAUGUGUGUCAACAUUUGGAGGAGCUGCAGUGAACCCACUUCCUCCAGUGACCAGGCCUCUGAGCCAGGCCUGGGUGGCAGGUGCGCGCAGGGCAGACCAGCAGCCUUCGACGUCCCGGGGUCUGAGAUGCUUGCCGGUGUCGUUUCAGAUUCCACGGGGCAGCCGGCCUUUAAGGAACCUCCAUGUAUCAUGUUUUGUGGAAUCCAAAGAAGAGUAUAACCGUCACCUGAAAAGGCUAACAGCAAUAGUCCAGCUCAGUGUCGGCGUGUGGCCUGACGUAUUCCACGUUUCAGCCAGAAGCAGACGCGAGAAGCCAGCUGUCUGUCAGACCAGACACGGAGGAGACUGGCAACAGCGGAAAACGAUGCUGCUCUUCGCACUGCAGUUUCUGUUACGUUUCGUGAAAAUGCUUUUUAUGGUAACGCUAGUUGGAUUUAUUACUGUUACCUUUAAACGAAUCAGUUGAUGACCCUUCCUUAAACGUCUCAGUUUUAACUGCCAGCACAGAGUGUAUCGACAAGUACAACCCGUGUGAACAAAGCUCUCGGGGGCGUCGAUCAUUUUUAACGGUGUCCUGAGCCCCCCAAGUUAUGAAGUGCUACCUGUGACAGCCUAGAUCGAGAGGAGACGUUUCUAAGAGGGGCUUUGUGAGCAGAGUAGGAGUUCAGCCUAUCCCCCAUGUAACGGCUGCAGAGGGACUUCCAGAAAGUGCGACGAGGGUCCUCCCCGGCUGUGGGAUUGCGUCCCCUGCGCCCCCCACCCCUGCCGAAUAGCCGCUACCUGAGUCUGCACUGAAGCCCGCUGUGCCUCCCUGGAUCUCAUGCUGAUCCACCUACAGGCCCUUUCAGCUUCCUUCUAGAUGCUGCAGCCAGGGUCUCCUGCCAACCUGUCUUCAAAGGUCUAAGACAGAAUCAGCAUCGUCUGGCCCACCGUGGUGCCUCUUCUGAGUCCACCAACUCUGUCAGCAACCUCACCUCCCCAGGCCCUCGACACCUAAAUCUUCAUUUAACAAAGCGCGUCCCCGGUCGGCCCCUGCCCCAGACGCCUGCUCCGCUGUGCUGCCUCAGGCCACGCGGCCUGGCGGGAAGCAGCACGUCCUGCCACAGGGCACCACCGAUGACACCGCCUCAGCUUGACAGCAGCAAGGAGAGACGGCCGGGGUCAGAGACCCGGGCCCCCACCCCGCCCACCGCGGGACGACCUGGCCGCCUAACCGUCGGAGGGCAGAGCCCCGCACGCCCGCCCGUGGUGAGAGGCGCGAUGGGAACACCGGUGAACCUUGUUCCUCCGGGUGUGGGAGGUGGGCCCGGACCGCGGUGUCCGACUGUGUUUUUUCAUUACUUUGAUAAAACAUGUAAAGUAACUUUUAAAAAAAGGGAACAGUGGGCAUCUGCUGUGUCGCUUUGCCGGGCUCUGUGCUGUGUUAGCGCCUUCUCUCCAGGUCCAUAGGAGCAGACAGACAUGCUUCCGAGAGCGCAGAGAGCAGACCCACCUGAGGAGGCCGCACCUGCAAACAGCGAGGCCAGGGCCCAUCUGAGAGAGCAAGCCCUGCUCCCCGGCCUCUCCCCCUCCUCCUGGGAGCAAAGUUUUGUAGGGACAUUAAGAUGCCGGCACCCCGGGGACCAGGAUGGAGGAGAACCAGGUCGUCCACCAUGGGCACAGACCCGACUGGAGGCCAAGGCUCGCCUCCAUGACCGGCAGGGCCUGGGAUGAUCGAGUGCCCGUAUCCUCCCAGCCAUCCUGCCACCGCCCAGGGUCAAUGCGCUCUCUAAAAGGGGACGGGCUUGGGACGGCAUCACCGAGUGGUGAGCCCUGAGCCCCCACGGGUCCAUGUAAUGUGGAAAAUCUCAUCCGGGUCAACACGGGGAGGGAGGCCUCACGCUUCGCUCUCCACCAGCCAGGCUUCUGAUGACGUGGCUGCUGACCAGGCUGGCUGCAGUGCGAGUCGUCCGGUAAUUGGUCAGAAUUUUUCCAUAAUCCCGGAAAAUACUUUUAGGUUGACGUUUGCAGAUGCAAUGUCAUUGAGCCGUAGAGUGCAAUGCACAAGAGAAGCCCCAAAUCAACGUAAUUUUUCUAAAAUUAUUGGCAGGAAUAAUAAAGGCCCAUGGUUUGUCCUAAAUGUUCUCCCAAUGGUAAGUCCUGGCUUCGUGACCAGAAGACAAAUGCCCACCGGGUAACGCUCCCUCUUUGUUAAAUCUGGUUUCCAUCGCCUGUGAGACUAAAUUUAAGGAAGUCUCAUAUCCCAAAAUCUAAGUGAACAGAGCAAAGACGUUACAGAAUUUCGUCAUGAGAGGAUUUUGUUUUACUGACUCACUCACUUCUUCUUCCCAGAGUUUCUGAUGCAGUCAGACCAUCACUGAACAAGACCGUCUGGCCACACUCUACUUCUAACCUGCUUUUCAGACACCUGUACCGUAUAAAGUAAGGAACAUUUUUUAAUGACAAUGAAUAUAUGCA